rnacentral:rRNA from 1 species
AUGGCGGCGGGGGGGGACUCGGUUGCCUUGCUCCUGUGUGGGGAACCCUGGAUCUGGAGCGGCGGCUCCGUUGGCAAGGCACGGCCGGCUAACAGCCGUGUGGGUGGUGGAUUCGGUGUCCCGGCCACGCGGGCGGCAGGAUCUGGUGGUCGUUGGCGGCCGGCGGCGGCUCCUGCAGCAGUCGGUGUGCGUGAUCUGGCGCCUCCCUUCCUCCCAUGUUCGGCGUGCGGGCCAGCCUGGUCGGGCCGCGCUUCCUCUUGGUCUCCGGUUAUGUACAGGAGGUGUUGCUGGUGGCGGAGAUCUAGUUCGAGCGAAAUCCCUGGCCGGCCAUGA